ACCAAUUGCGAAGGCAGGUUACUAUGUCUUAACUGACGCUGAUGGACGAAAGCGUGGGGAGCGAACAGGAUUAGAUACCCUGGUAGUCCACGCCGUAAACGAUGCUAACUCGUUUUUGGGUUUUCGGAUUCAGAGACUAAGCGAAAGUGAUAAGUUAGCCACCUGGGGAGUACGUUCGCAAGAAUGAAACUCAAAGGAAUUGACGGGGGCCCGCACAAGCGGUGGAUUAUGUGGUUUAAUUCGAUGAUACGCGAGGAACCUUACCAAGGCUUAAAUGGGAAUUGAUCGGUUUAGAAAUAGACCUUCCUUCGGGCAAUUUUCAAGGUGCUGCAUGGUUGUCGUCAGCUCGUGCCGUGAGGUGUUAGGUUAAGUCCUGCAACGAGCGCAACCCCUGUCACUAGUUGCCAUCAUUCAGUUGGGGACUCUAGUGAGACUGCCUACGCAAGUAGAGAGGAAGGUGGGGAUGACGUCAAAUCAUCACGGCCCUUACGCCUUGGGCCACACACGUAAUACAAUGGCCGGUACAGAGGGCAGCUACACAGCGAUGUGAUGCAAAUCUCGAAAGCCGGUCUCAGUUCGGAUUGGAGUCUGCAACUCGACUCUAUGAAGCUGGAAUCGCUAGUAAUCGCGCAUCAGCCAUGGCGCGGUGAAUACGUUCCCGGGCCUUGUACACACCGCCCGUCAAGCCAUGGAAGUCUGGGGUACCUGAAGUCGGUGACCGUAAAAGGAGCUGCCUAGGUAAACCAUUGGU
rnacentral:rRNA from 1 species